GGUGUUUGGAAUGAAGUUUGAUCCAAGAUCCUUCCACAUGCUUUCCCUCUUCAUAUGUUAUGGGGUUUCUUGUUUGGUUUGGAUGUGAUCUCGGACCAGGCUUCAUUCCACACACC
rnacentral:pre_miRNA from 1 species